UACUGGCUGUGACUACACUGACUUGGACACUUGGCCUUUUGCGGGUUUGAGAGGUAAGCGUCGCGGCCUGCUUCCAGGCUACCCUGAUUUUGGUUCGUGGCUCCUCCUGACCCUGAGAACCUCUGUCGCCUCAGAUCAGAACCGUCGUCGCGUUUCGGGCUACAGCCUGUUGCUGGACUCUGUGAGACACCUGACCGACCGCUGAGCGACUGACUGGUCCACAGCGCCGGCAAGAUGAAGUUCACUGUGGUGGCGGCGGCGCUGCUG
rnacentral:other from 1 species